AAUGAAUGCUGGCGGCAGGCCUAACACAUGCAAGUCGAACGGAUCCUUCGGAAUUAGUGGCGGACGGGUGAGUAACGCGUGGGAACGUGCCCUUUGGUUCGGAAUAGCCUCGGGAAACUGGGAGUAAUACCGGAUAAGCCCUUCGGGGGAAAGAUUUAUCGCCAAAGGAUCGGCCCACGUUGGAUUAGGUAGUUGGUGGGGUAAUGGCCUACCAAGCCGACGAUCCAUAGCUGGUUUGAGAGGAUGAUCAGCCACACUGGGACUGAGACACGGCCCAGACUCCUACGGGAGGCAGCAGUGGGGAAUCUUAGACAAUGGGGGAAACCUUGAUCUAGCCAUGCCGCGUGAUCGAUGAAGGCCUUAGGGUUGUAAAGAUCUUUCAGUUGGGAAGAUAAUGACGGUACCAACAGAAGAAGCCCCGGCUAACUCCGUGCCAGCCGCCGCCGUAUGAC
rnacentral:rRNA from 1 species